AUUGAACGCUGGCGGAAUGCUUUACACAUGCAAGUCGAACGGUAGAGGGGGCAACCCCUUGAGAGUGGCGAACGGGUGAGUAAUAUAUCGGAACGUGCCCAGUCGUGGGGAUAACGUAGCGAAAGUUACGCUAAUACCGCAUACGAUCUACGGAUGAAAGCGGGGGACUCGCAAGAGCCUCGCGCGAUUGGAGCGGCCGAUAUCAGAUUAGGUAGUUGGUGGGGUAAAGGCUCACCAAGCCAACGAUCUGUAGCUGGUCUGAGAGGACGACCAGCCACACUGGAACUGAGACACGGUCCAGACUCCUACGGGAGGCAGCAGUGGGGAAUUUUGGACAAUGGACGCAAGUCUGAUCCAGCCAUUCCGCGUGCAGGAUGAAGGCCCUCGGGUUGUAAACUGCUUUUGUACGGAACGAAAAGGUUUGUCUUAAUACGAUGAGCUCAUGACGGUACCGUAAGAAUAAGCACCGGCUAACUACGUGCCAGCAGCCGCGGU
rnacentral:rRNA from 1 species